UUCUCAGGAGAUAUCAGAAUA
rnacentral:siRNA from 1 species